AAAGAUUUCUACAGUAAAAGCUGGGGAGGUGUGUAGGGCUCCAGUCUUUGGGUUCACAGCUUGGCUCUACAUUCAUUGCUGGAGGAAUCCAAGCCUCACAAAAGACCGCUUUUAAAGAAAAACUCUAUUUUUCUUAGAAGAACUAGCUUUAACCAAACUUGAGUAAGAACUCCCUGACUUGGAAACACUCAAGUUUCCCACACAUGACUGGAUGGCCCUGGCCACACUGGGAACGGAAUGGGGGCCUCCCAUUGGAACUCAGGGUGGAGGGGGAAGCUCGACCAGCUAUUGUGGCCCCCACUUCCAUUGACAAAAAAGAAAACCUGCAGAUUCCAUUGAUCUGGCAUGGAGCUGGAUGUCUUUCAGGAUGAAGAGUUUUCAUUAAAACACAGCCACAACAAAGCAAGAAAAAAGAGCAAUUGAUAUGUGGUGGUGAGACUUGCUCUUGGAUGCUGUCAGGAAGUAUCAUCUGACUGCGUUUGCUACCCUGGGGGAGACAAACAAAACUUGAGUGAAGGAAAAUGAGAACUCACCUGAAACCAAGAAGAGUCUUUGGAAAAGGAUUUUUGUGUAGGUCAUCUGGAAAGUGUUUACUCUUAGCAGUUAUGCAUAACUAUAGUCUUAAGAACAAAGUGAGGUGGGGGUGCGGGUAAGGGUGGGAAUGGGGUAGGGGUAAACGAGUGGGUGGAGACGUGUCUGUGUGUCCAAAAAACUGCCCCAAAGCAAACAUGGCCACGUGCACACAUCUAAACCAAUGUGUCUCUUAAGACUUUAGCCUCCAGUAUACUAUGUAGUCGCUGCAUUCGUUGACUUUCUUGUCUUACUCAGCAAAAGAUGUAGACGAUUUCCACUAUCUUUCCAUAGACCCUCGCUAAAUGACCAGAUGGGAAAAGUCUAUUGCCUGACCAAAUUGCCAGUCAGCCCAUGAGCAGUCCAGACAGUGCAGGAUUUAUAGAAAAGGAAUUUUUAUGAUUUCUUCCUGCCCAACCCCCACUAAGAAGCAAAGGCCCUACUCUUGACCUUGGCAUCCCCUUGUUGCUUUCUUCUCGUCCAUGACACCUAGGCUUGAUAUUCUUUACCUUGGGUAUUCUUGUGAAUAUUUGCUGAAUUUUCAUUUACACCAAAUACAAUUCAGAAGACAGAGGCUUUCCAAGGUAUGAGUGUGUAAGUAUGUUAAAGAAAAGCUCUCAGCUUGUCUCAUGGUUUAAAGUCCUCCUAAGAUAUCUGAGCUGAAUCUAAGGAAUAAAGUAGAUUGGUUCCUCCCUGUCUGAUGAGUUUUAUCAAAAUGUGAUAAAAUGUGGUAAAGAAAAAUGGUGGGCCAACUUCGUUAUAGUUCUACUGAGGGACACUGUACAGGUAAACCAGGCCAUAACUCAUUUGUCCUGUGACAGUUUUUAUUAUUCUGUUUUUAUGCAGUUUUGAAGAGUGAGGGGAAUUGCCCUAGACAACAGAUGUGAGAGACUUUUUUCUUUCUUUCUGUCCUGUGGACAGGCCUCAGGCUCCAGCCCAGUGACUCAUUGUUGUGGUAUUAUAUACCUCAAGAUGAAGUGUGUGCGGUGGAAAGUGUGGGCAGGAUUUAUCAGUGCGACUUCUUCCUUUGAAGUAUCAAGGCAGGCUACUUUGCUGAUGGUUUCUGGAACCUGGCCAAGCCCCAAUAUACUGUGAAAAUAGCUGUCUUAGGUUUUCCUGGCACAUGAGAACAUUUGCACUUGAUUCUCAGACCUCCAUUGCUUUCUGAUGUUUUUGAGGCCAGUGUUCUUGGGAUUUAGGGCUCAGGGCCAGAUUGUAACCCUGCCUGUUUGUACUCCUUCAAAUGCCCCAUCCCAACAUGGUUUUGAUGGCUCCAGAUACAGACUGUAACACCAACUUGAGUUCCAAAGUGCAGGCUGGCUUUAGGUUGCUUUUAAGCAUUCAUGCAUAAAUUUCUCUAUAGCCCACAUUUCCUGCUACCCUGCCCCCACUAACAAAAUGCUGACUCUUAAGGCGUUUUACUGUGACAAUGCUUUCUACGGCAAAGCAUCUUCACAUUUUCAGCUUGAAAGCAAGGCAAUGUGUACGCGGAGAAAAACAUAGGAAUACCAUGAUAACUCUAUCAGUAAAUUGAAAAAAUAGGGCUGGGCAUGAUGGUUUUACACCUGUAAUCCCAGCACUUUGGAGGCCAAGGCCAGUGGAUUACUUGAGGCCAGGAGCUUGAGACCAG
rnacentral:lncRNA from 10 species